ACUCCUACGGGAGGCAGCAGUGGGGAAUAUUGCACAAUGGGCGAAAGCCUGAUGCAGCGACGCCGCGUGGGGGAUGAAGGCCUUCGGGUUGUAAACUCCUUUCGCUAGGGACGAAGAGUUACAUGACGGUACCUGGAGAAGAAGCACCGGCUAACUACGUGCCAGCAGCCGCGGUAAUACGUAGGGUGCGAGCGUUGUCCGGAAUUACUGGGCGUAAAGAGCU
rnacentral:rRNA from 1 species